rnacentral:rRNA from 1 species
UACGGGGGGAGCAAGCGUUGCUCGGAUUUACUGGGCGUAAAGGGCGCGUAGGCGGCGUGACAAGUCACUUGUGAAAUCUCCGGGCUUAACUCGGAACGGUCAAGUGAUACUGUCGUGCUAGAGUACAGAAGGGGCAACUGGAAUUCUCGGUGUAGCGGUGAAAUGCGUAGAUAUCGAGAGGAACACCUGCGGCGAAGGCGGGUUGCUGGGCUGAUACUGACGCUGAGGCGCGAAAGCCAGGGGAGCGAACGGG